UUAAGCGACUAAGCGUACACGGUGGAUGCCCUGGCAGUCAGAGGCGAUGAAGGACGUGCUAAUCUGCGAUAAGCGUCGGUAAGGUGAUAUGAACCGUUAUAACCGGUCGAUUUCCGAAUGGGGAAACCCAGUGUUGAUUCGUCACACUAUCAUUAACUGAAUCCAUAGGUUAAUGAGGCGAACCGGGGGAACUGAAACAUCUAAGUACCCCGAGGAAAAGAAAUCAACCGAGAUUCCCCCAGUAGCGGCGAGCGAACGGGGAGGAGCCCAGAGCCUGAAUCAGUGUGUGUGUUAGUGGAAGCGUCUGGAAAGGCGCGCGAUACAGGGUGACAGCCCCGUACACAAAAAUGCACAUGCUGUGAGCUCGAUGAGUAGGGCGGGACACGUGGUAUCCUGUCUGAAUAUGGGGGGACCAUCCUCCAAGGCUAAAUACUCCUGACUGACCGAUAGUGAACCAGUACCGUGAGGGAAAGGCGAAAAGAACCCCGGCGAGGGGAGUGAAAAAGAACCUGAAACCGUGUACGUACAAGCAGUGGGAGCACGCUUAGGCGUGUGACUGCGUACCUUUUGUAUAAUGGGUCAGCGACUUAUAUUCUGUAGCAAGGUUAACCGAAUAGGGGAGCCGAAGGGAAACCGAGUCUUAACUGGGCGUUAAGUUGCAGGGUAUAGACCCGAAACCCGGUGAUCUAGCCAUGGGCAGGUUGAAGGUUGGGUAACACUAACUGGAGGACCGAACCGACUAAUGUUGAAAAAUUAGCGGAUGACUUGUGGCUGGGGGUGAAAGGCCAAUCAAACCGGGAGAUAGCUGGUUCUCCCCGAAAGCUAUUUAGGUAGCGCCUCGUGAAUUCAUCUCCGGGGGUAGAGCACUGUUUCGGCAAGGGGGUCAUCCCGACUUACCAACCCGAUGCAAACUGCGAAUACCGGAGAAUGUUAUCACGGGAGACACACGGCGGGUGCUAACGUCCGUCGUGAAGAGGGAAACAACCCAGACCGCCAGCUAAGGUCCCAAAGUCAUGGUUAAGUGGGAAACGAUGUGGGAAGGCCCAGACAGCCAGGAUGUUGGCUUAGAAGCAGCCAUCAUUUAAAGAAAGCGUAAUAGCUCACUGGUCGAGUCGGCCUGCGCGGAAGAUGUAACGGGGCUAAACCAUGCACCGAAGCUGCGGCAGCGACGCUGAUGCGUUGUUGGGUAGGGGAGCGUUCUGUAAGCCUGUGAAGGUGUGCUGUGAGGCAUGCUGGAGGUAUCAGAAGUGCGAAUGCUGACAUAAGUAACGAUAAAGCGGGUGAAAAGCCCGCUCGCCGGAAGACCAAGGGUUCCUGUCCAACGUUAAUCGGGGCAGGGUGAGUCGACCCCUAAGGCGAGGCCGAAAGGCGUAGUCGAUGGGAAACAGGUUAAUAUUCCUGUACUUGGUGUUACUGCGAAGGGGGACGGAGAAGGCUAUGUUGGCCGGGCGACGGUUGUCCCGGUUUAAGCGUGUAGGCUGGUUUUCCAGGCAAAUCCGGAAAACUAAGGCUGAGGCGUGAUGACGAGGCACUACGGUGCUGAAGCAACAAAUGCCCUGCUUCCAGGAAAAGCCUCUAAGCAUCAGGUAACAUCAAAUCGUACCCCAAACCGACACAGGUGGUCAGGUAGAGAAUACCAAGGCGCUUGAGAGAACUCGGGUGAAGGAACUAGGCAAAAUGGUGCCGUAACUUCGGGAGAAGGCACGCUGAUAUGUAGGUGAAGUCCCUCGCGGAUGGAGCUGAAAUCAGUCGAAGAUACCAGCUGGCUGCAACUGUUUAUUAAAAACACAGCACUGUGCAAACACGAAAGUGGACGUAUACGGUGUGACGCCUGCCCGGUGCCGGAAGGUUAAUUGAUGGGGUCAGCGCAAGCGAAGCUCUUGAUCGAAGCCCCGGUAAACGGCGGCCGUAACUAUAACGGUCCUAAGGUAGCGAAAUUCCUUGUCGGGUAAGUUCCGACCUGCACGAAUGGCGUAAUGAUGGCCAGGCUGUCUCCACCCGAGACUCAGUGAAAUUGAACUCGCUGUGAAGAUGCAGUGUACCCGCGGCAAGACGGAAAGACCCCGUGAACCUUUACUAUAGCUUGACACUGAACAUUGAGCCUUGAUGUGUAGGAUAGGUGGGAGGCUUUGAAGUGUGGACGCCAGUCUGCAUGGAGCCGACCUUGAAAUACCACCCUUUAAUGUUUGAUGUUCUAACGUUGACCCGUAAUCCGGGUUGCGGACAGUGUCUGGUGGGUAGUUUGACUGGGGCGGUCUCCUCCUAAAGAGUAACGGAGGAGCACGAAGGUUGGCUAAUCCUGGUCGGACAUCAGGAGGUUAGUGCAAUGGCAUAAGCCAGCUUGACUGCGAGCGUGACGGCGCGAGCAGGUGCGAAAGCAGGUCAUAGUGAUCCGGUGGUUCUGAAUGGAAGGGCCAUCGCUCAACGGAUAAAAGGUACUCCGGGGAUAACAGGCUGAUACCGCCCAAGAGUUCAUAUCGACGGCGGUGUUUGGCACCUCGAUGUCGGCUCAUCACAUCCUGGGGCUGAAGUAGGUCCCAAGGGUAUGGCUGUUCGCCAUUUAAAGUGGUACGCGAGCUGGGUUUAGAACGUCGUGAGACAGUUCGGUCCCUAUCUGCCGUGGGCGCUGGAGAACUGAGGGGGGCUGCUCCUAGUACGAGAGGACCGGAGUGGACGCAUCACUGGUGUUCGGGUUGUCAUGCCAAUGGCACUGCCCGGUAGCUAAAUGCGGAAGAGAUAAGUGCUGAAAGCAUCUAAGCACGAAACUUGCCCCGAGAUGAGUUCUCCCUGACUCCUUGAGAGUCCUGAAGGAACGUUGAAGACGACGACGUUGAUAGGCCGGAUGUGUAAGCGCAGCGAUGCGUUGAGCUAACCGGUACUAAUGAACCGUGAGGCUUAACCUU
rnacentral:rRNA from 1 species